GCCCGCCUAGCUCAAUCGGAUAGAGCGUCAGACUCUUAUCGUCUAGGAGGGCAUCUGAAGGCUGCGAGUUCGACCCUCGCGGUGGGCU
rnacentral:tRNA from 2 species